UCCGCACAACGUCAAACCAGUGACUGAUAUCCAAGUGGUCACCUCUCUUGGGCCUUCAUCAUUUUUCCAUUUUCCCAGCGGCUGCCUCCUGCACGUUGUACUACAGUGGAGGACAGAGAUGCACGGGGCAUCCGAGCAGAUGUCUUGCUCAGCCAAGAUUUGUCCGGGUCGCCCACAGCUGGGUCCACGUUAGCCGUUAACAGGCUUCUCUAGAUGGUAGUUGACCAAGAGAGUUCAGUGUGCAAGUCUGGGAGCGGAAGGGCCCCAGGUUUGAGUGACACGGGGAAACCUGACCUCUUUGGCCUCAAUUUUGUCAUCUGUAAGAUGGGGAUUACAAAGUAAGGAGAUGGGGAACCUGCCUCAUGGGGUGAUGCGAAGGCAGCGUGAGAUCCUGCAGAGGAAGUGCUCAGCCCAGGCUCAUUUUCCUUUCCUGAACACCUCCAACGUCUACCAGGAGAUCACCUUCAAGCCCUCAGCACUGCCCGGGCCCAGAAUUAAUAACACACCGUGAGACGGAAAAACCGCGAAUGUCUGACAUCUGGGUGUGUUAAAGGAGCAUCAUUAAGUCUCUCAGAAUUAUUGCUCCUGUGCAGACUCCGGGGCCAGAAGAAAACCCAGAGACCCCCUGCUCCCCCUGAGGUCCGGAGAGACAAGGACACUCACUGGCCACCCAAAGGGACGGUCCCCGAUGCCCUCCAAACAUUUGGGACCUUCCUGCACCUCAACUUGCUCACACAGGACAAAACUGAGCAUCUCACAGGUGAAUCCAAGGGAAAGACCGAGAAUAAAACAGGAAACCAGUUUUCUGUCCUUCCUCGCUCCUUCCUUGAUGUUCAUGAUUUCAAGGACAAACUUUAUCAAGGUCAAAUAGUUUCCUCAGGAAAUUUUUUCUAGUACAUUUUCCCACUGAGGAGUUCCCACUGUGGCACAGUGGGUUAAGAAUAUGACUGCAGAGGCUCAGGUUGCUGCAGAGGUGUGGGUUCAGUCCCUGGGCAACUGUAGUUGGUUAAGGAUCCAGCAUUGCUGCACCUGUGGCCUAGUUCGUUGCUGCAGCUCGGAUUCAGUCCCUGGCCUGAGAACUUCCGUCUGUCACAGAUGUGGCCACGAAAGUAAAAAAAAAAAAAAAUUUCCCUUCAGAGGCCUCCUCUCAGUCCCUUUCCCAGUUCAGGAAGAGCAACGUCUAGAAGUCUGCCUCAAAAUGUACUUUUCCUGGAGUUCCCAUUGUGGCUCAGCAGUAACAAACCCAACUAGUAUCCAUGAGGAUGAGGGUUCGACUCCUGGCCUCACUCAGUGGGUUAAGGAUCCGACGUUGCCGUGAGCUGUGGUGUAGGUCACAGACUCGGGCUCGGAUCCAGUGUGGCUGUGGCUGUGGUGCAGGCCGGCAGCUGCAGCUCCGAUUCAACCCCUGGCCUGGGAACCUCCAUAUGCGGCGGGUGUAGCCCUAAAAGGCCAAAGGAAAAAAAAAUGUUCUUUUCCUGAGACACUGCAGACUCUCUCGAGGUCUUUUUUGGCAACCCCAGCUUAACCUGGCACUUCUUGCAAAGGGUCACCUCACAGCUGCUAGCAGUUCUUUCUCGGAAUUAACGAUCUCACCAGCAACCAAAGGCCCUUUUCCAAGGGCUCUGGUGGGAGCUUUCCUCCAGGAAGGAGAGGCCGGGGAGAAAGAGGCCUGGAGGCAGAAGUGGCACCCCCGGGCCAUCCCCUUCCCUCUGGCGUCGGUGGAGGGGAAGGGCAGCCGCCAGGCCUAGCUGCCUCCCUCUCUUUCCCACAAGAAAGGGGGUGUCUCAGGCAGUCUCCUUUCCCUGGCCUCUGGGAUGGGCCCGAGGAGGCAGUGGUCAUACAGGCAAAGGCCCCUGCGGAGAAUAGAAACGAAGGAACCGCGUCUGAUGGCUGGGCUCCCGAGAAGCACGCCUCGGAAGACAAACACAGCGCCUCGGAAGGGAGACGCAGGCGGCAGCCAAACCCAGGCCUCCUCCGGGCCCCUCGCGGGAGGCGACGCGCCUGGAAACCCAUCAUGGCGUCGAGGGGGCCCCUCUCCGUCGUGAAAACGUCUCCGCAGAGAGGAAAAUUGUUCUGAAUGAACCAACUCAGGAACUCAAUUUUGAAACUGUUUUCUUAAGUCCUAUUGAAACGGGAGGUCUUAGGCCUGCACAAUAAAUCAGUUUAUGAAAAU
rnacentral:lncRNA from 1 species